UGGGGAAUAUUGCACAAUGGGCGCAAGCCUGAUGCAGCAACGCCGCGUGAACGAUGAAGGUCUUCGGAUCGUCAAGUUCUGUUGCAGGGGAAGAUAAUGACUGUACCCUGUGAGGAAGCCCCGGCUAACUACGUGCCAGCAGCCGCGGUAAUACGUAGGGGGCUAGCGUUAUCCGGAUUUACUGGGCGUAAAGGGUGCGUAGGUGGUCUUUCAAGUCGGUGGUUAAAGGCUACGGCUCAACCGUAGGUAGCCUCCGAAACUGGAAGACUUGGGUGCAGGGGAGGAAAGUGGAAGUCCCGGUGUAGCGGUGAAAUGCGUAGAUAUUGGGGGGAACACCAGUAGCGAAGGCGGCUUUCUGGACAGCAAAUGACACUGAAGCACGAAAACGUGGGUAGCAAACGGG
rnacentral:rRNA from 1 species